UAAUACGGGAGGUGCGAGCGUUAAUCGGAAUUACUGGGCGUAAAGCGAGCGUAGGCUGUUAAUUAAGUCGAAUGUGAAAUCCCCGGGCUCAACCUGGGAACUGCAUUCGAAACUAUUUAACUAGAGUAUGGGAGAGGAAAGUAGAAUUUCCGGUGUAGCGGUGAAAUGCGUAGAUAUCGGAAGGAAUACCAGUGGCGAAGGCGGCUUUCUGGAACAAUACUGACGCUGAGGUUCGAAAGCGUGGGGAGCAAACAGGAUUAGAUACCCUGGUAGUCCACGCCGUAAACGAUGAGAACUAGAUGUUGGGAGGAUUGGCCUCUCAGUGUCGCAGCUAACGCAAUAAGUUCUCCGCCUGGGGAGUACGACCGCAAGGUUG
rnacentral:rRNA from 1 species